rnacentral:rRNA from 1 species
UACGGAGGGGGCUAGCGUUGUUCGGAAUUACUGGGCGUAAAGCGCACGUAGGCGGAUCAGCAAGUUAGGGGUGAAAUCCCGGGGCUCAACCCCGGAACUGCCUUUAAAACUGUUGGUCUGGAGGUCGAGAGAGGUGAGUGGAAUUCCGAGUGUAGAGGUGAAAUUCGUAGAUAUUCGGAGGAACACCAGUGGCGGAAGGCGGCUCACUGGCUCGAUACUGACGCUGAGGUGCGAAAGCGUGGGGGAGCAAACAGG